GGCAUUUUAACCUGGACCCGAAAACCCGAACCGGAACCGACCCGAAAUCACAGGUCCAGGUACAGGUACAAGUAUGUGUAGAUUAACCUGUUGGAUAUUUUAUUCAUAGACCCGUGGGUACAGGUUCGGAUCCGGGUAAGACCCGAUACCCGAACGGGUAUUAAUGGAACCGAAAAAACACAAAUAGGCGUGCUUCAAGACUUCAAGUUACAGCACGUCACUUAAUGUUUUGUCUCAAACCUCGGUA
rnacentral:lncRNA from 1 species